rnacentral:rRNA from 1 species
GAUGAACGCUGGCGGCGUGCCUAAUACAUGCAAGUCGAGCGAAGCGGGGACGGGUGAGUAACACGUGGAUAACCUCCUAUAAGACUGGGAUAACUUCGGGAAACCGGAGCUAAACCGGAUAAUUAUAGCUGGAUCCGCGCUGCAUUAGCUAGUUGGUAAGGUAACGGCUUACCAAGGCCACGAUGCAUAGCCGACCUGCGAGGGUGAGCGGCCACACGGGAACUGAGACAGGGUCAAGACGCAGAGGGGAGGCAGCAGUAGGGAAUCUUCCGCAAUGGGCGAAACCCUGACGGAGCAAGGCGGGGUGAGUGAUGAUGGUUUGCGGAUCGUAAAACGCUGUGAUUAGGGAAGCGGUACCUAAUCAGAAAGCCACGGCUAACUACGUGCCAGCAGCCGCGGUAAUA